CUCUUUUUAGCAAAAAUAAUGCAUUAAAUUUAGGAUUUAAAGAUAAGAACAAUUUCUUAAAAGAGA
rnacentral:tRNA from 1 species